CUAGGGGCUUUUCUUUUUCUGCAAUUUUUGGGCAGCGGCUAGAUCUUCUUCACUGCCGUUUAUUUUGUUUUAUUUUCUUUCCCUUUUUUAUUUUCUUUUUCUUCCAUCUUUUAGCUUGGUUUCCUUGUAUAUUUUGGAGAAAAUUUGGCGCAUGAUUAUGAUGAAAUAGCUUGGAGAAGAAGAUGAUUUGAUAUUGAAGAAACCCUCAACUAUUUCUCCAUUAUGAAUAAGCUUUUCUUUCCCUAUUUUCCAUUAUUGUGUUGUAGGAAUUUGACGGUUAUUUGUGAAUAUUUCAUGGGUAACUAAAUAUAUAUGUGAUUGGGGAUUAUUUCAAACUCGAGUUAUGAUUUUCAAUUAAUUUGUGCUUUAUAGUUCUCUUGAUUGACGUAUUUAAUUCCUCGAGUUAAAUGUUUAUUUUGUUCUUCUUGAUUGUUUAGGUGUACAACUAAAUGAUUAAGUUGUUACGAUAAAUGCUAUUUUGAGAUUAGUAGUACGUAAUAGCUAUUGAUUUUAAAACAUAAUAGCAAUCACAUUUCGAUAGAUUAUGAAGAAUUUUCAAUUGAAUGUAUGUGGAUUAACACUUAAGUUAGUAAACUGAGCUUGCGAGUUUACUCUUAAUUCAAUUCAUCUCUUUUGUCGUAAUGCGUUUGUUAAAUUAAAUCUAGAGAGCUUGUUCUAGGUUGUUUAAUGCAUAGGGUCGAGUAAAGAGCUUGUUUUAUUCGACUAACAUGUAAUAAGAGGUUGAGAUAAUUUAGCUUGUAAUUAUUCUCGAAUUGUUAUUAAUCUUGAGAAUGAAAAUCUAUUGUGGUAAUUGACAUGAAAAUCAUUCUUGUGGUGAUGAAAUAUCCCCCAAUCACAUUUUCUCGUAUUCAAUCGAAACCACUUUGUUUAUUUCAAGUUUCAAAUAUUCUCUAUUUCGAAUUUAUCACUUUACUUAAUUAAAUGAACCAACCCCCCCCCCCCCCCAUUUAAUCAAUUUCGUAUAUAAUCGCUAAUUUUACUUUUUAGUACGCAAUUGACAAAAUUGAACCAAUCCUCUGCGAGAAAUGACCCUUACUUACCAUUUUACUAUUUAAGACGACACUUUUAAGUUAAAGUAAGGAAAAGUAAUUGGAACAUGAUUUGCAACGUAUCAUACCACUAAGAAGGCCCAUCUGUGUCUCUUGUUCCUCAAAAUACCAGAUUAGUAAGAUUGACGGAGAGAUUUUCAGAAACUAUAAUUGAUAAGUGUAAAAAAUUUUCAGGUGACUCAAGAGUGCUGCGAGCUCAUUGGUAACAUAAACUACACAUACAUUGAACACCACCUGCGGGUUGUGUUUCUAAUACUUAUGGGGUAGAGAAAUUUAUGUUGAUAAUAAGGAUUAUGUUAGUGCAAAGGAUGUUUAUCAUUUUUAUCACAUGAGUGAGAAAUAGUUUGCAGUGACCUUUUCAUUUGCCUUGAUAUUCUGGAUGCUUUUCCUAUUGCCACUGAUGUAUAAGGGGUUAACUUUUUAAUGUUGGCCGGUCUGUCAAAAAACUUAUAUUCUUCAACAGAUACAUAUAUACCAUUAUUCUAAUCUCUUUGCAUUAGGUUAUGUGGGUUCCCGAUAGUUUUGAAAUUGGCAUGGUAGCUGAGAAGCUUGGAAAGUCACGAAAAUAUCAAGCAGUUUUGUGUAUUGGAGCUUUGGUAUGCUUUUCUUUCACAAGUUCCAAAUGUGCUGAUGUUUUAUAUUCUUUUAUUUUGCACGUCUCCCGCAAUUUGCAUUCAUAGUUAUUGUUUGCAUGUUCUGCCAUAGCUUAAGGUCAUCAUUUUUUUGCUUCAAUUACCCACUUAUCACAUUUGUUUGUUAGGAAUCUACUUAACAUGUACUGUAGAAAAUUAAAACAGAUUUCGAUUCCCACUAGGAGUCUCUUUGUGUUUAGAUAGAAAUUGUAAAAAAGAUCGUACAUUUUUCUAGAUCUGCAAACUCCUGUACUUUUCUAGCAUUCCAACAAUCUUGAUCUGUCAACCACAGUUGUCCAAUUGUCCAGCCUCCAUCGGUGAUCCACACAGAGAACAAGAUUGUAGGAUUAGGAUUUUCAUCUUGUUCUAGCAAGAAUAAUGAAGAAUAAUAAAUUCAUUACAAAAUUGUAAACUUAUUUAUAUAAGUCCAAACGGGAUUGGCCUAAUCCGGUCCAAUAUUUAAUCAAUCCAUUAAUUAAAUCUGGUCCGUGAAUUAAUUAAUCCAAUUAAUUAAUUCGGGCCUAUAAAUAACCAUCCCAAUUAAUUAAUUUAUCUAACGAUUGUUAAAUUAAUUAAUCGACAAAUUACAAUCUUCCAAUUCUCUUUUGUAUACGACCCAUCAGGUUUCCGAUCACGAUAUCUAACGACAUGAAAUAUUAUUUUGAUCUAAUCAAAAUUGAUAAAUCAAAACAGCAUUUUAAUUUAUGACAAAUUCACACUCGUCGUCCCAGAUUGACAUCUAGCAAUGUGUCAGGGCAAUACAUGUGACGGAAAAUGUCACGUGAUAUGACAAAAUCAAACUCGUUCGUUUACCGUGAAACUAUAAUCCCUUUGUCAAUAUGAUCCGAUCAAUUACAAAAUAUAGAAACGUGUCAAUCCCGAUUAUCGAUCAUAUCCUUCACUUCACUAUUAAGUCAGUGUAAGUCGAAAACUCCUUUUCGACUUAUGAGUACACCUUGACCAAUGAUUUCGUUAUCGAUUUAAUUGAGUAAAACGCAGAUCAUAAUUUCUUACUAUCUAAGAGUGACGAAUCCUCUAUUGAUCAUUAAUAACCUUCAUAUGAUUCUUGACAUACCCGAAUGAUGCCGUAUUAACGACCCUUGGCAAAGCAACAUCCAACACCGCCAACUGACCUCAUGCAAGGUAUCAUGACGACCUCAAGUCAAAGGACCAAUUCCACUAUCGAAUGUUAGAGAUUAACCACUGACACUCAGAUAGUUAUCCAUGUGAAAUCUCUCGGUGGGUGUCCAAUUUUUUGUUUUAUAAUAAAAUAUCCACAUGUUCAUUCAAGUGUCACCACACUUUAACUUGUGAGAUCAGCUGCUUAUUUUACAAGUAAGAAAUGCCACACGUGAUAGUCUAUCCGUAAUAACGAUAUCCGUAUGUCGUUAUUACUUACAAUCACAGACGAUUUAAGAUUCAAUCAUAUAUAAUUUGUAUCUCACAAUCACAACUCCUUGUGAUUAACAAAUUACGGAGAUUUGAAUCUACGGACUCUAUUACUGUAUAUUAAUUAAAUAAUAGAUCUGCCAUUAAAUUGCAUUAAAUAUAUAUUAAAAGUAUUUAUGUCUAAGGUUGAUUGAACAUAGGGCAUAACACUUACAUUGUUGAGGCCAUUGAGUUCCAUAAAUCUUUUGCUGCUUGUUAUUGUCUUUAUUGUGCUUAUCAUUAUUCUCAAUUACUAAAUGAUCUUUUUCUUCUUAAACCUUUCUGACCAGUAGAUUUGAAGUGAUACUUCCCACUUUGAUGAUGUGGCCAAUUCAGCUGCAUCUGGAGUACUCUCAGCAGGCCUAAAUUCAAGUGGGUUGAUUUGACAUUAGAAGUAUAUCUAUUUUCCAAUAUCUACUGCCGCGUAAAUCUAUCCAUGCUUUAACAUACUAAAACGUACAAUCUACUAUGUCUUUUGGCAAUAGGGCAUGUUUAUAAUGUUACUAUCAGUUAACUUAUUAGUGCAACUGUUGAAUUUGUACGGUGUCAUUGGUGGUGAACACAAGCAACUAAACAAUGAGAAAUUAAACAAGAAGAGAAAGAGGGAUAAAUAGGAGAAGAAAGAGGGAAGAAUGAGAGAAGAGACAGAAUUGCUGGAAGACUUUGUAAUUUUAUUCAACGAUCAAAGUUGGUUAUUACAAAGUAAGAUCCUCCUUAUAUAUAGUCUAAACUAAAAUAAAUAAGAAAAAAUAGGUUUCCACAUAAGGAAACAAACUAAAUUCUUUUAACUAACAAUGACUGAUAUUAAGGAAAAUAA
rnacentral:lncRNA from 1 species